rnacentral:rRNA from 1 species
GACGAACGCUGGCGGCGUGCUUAACACAUGCAAGUCGAACGAAGUGGCGAACGGGUGAGUAACGCGUAAUCAACCUGCCCUUCAGAGGGGGACAACAGUUGGAAACGACUGCUAAUACCGCAUACGGAAGGAGGGGAUUGCGUCGUAUGUGCUAGUUGGAGGGGUAACGGCCCACCAAGGCGAUGGUCAGUAGCCGGUCUGGUAGGAUGAACGGCCACAUUGGGCCUGGGACACGGCCCAGACCCCUACGGGAGGCAGCAGUGGGGAAUCUUCCGCAAUUGACGAAAGUCUGACGGAGCAACGCCGCGUGAUUGAUGACUGCCUUCGGGUUGUAAAGCUCUGUUAAUCGGGACGCGGUACCGGAAUAGAAAGCCACGGCUAACUACGUGCCAGCAGCCGCGGUAAUUC